AUUGAACGCUGGCGGCAGGCCUAACACAUGCAAGUCGAACGAGUGGCGGACGGGUGAGUAAUGUCUGGGAAACUGCCCGAUGGAGGGGGAUAACUACUGGAAACGGUAGCUAAUACCGCAAACCAUCGGAUGUGCCCAGAUUGGAUUAGCGAGUAGGUGGGGUAACGGCUCACCUAGGCGACGAUCCCUAGCGGGUCCGAGAGGAGAACCAGCCACAUUGGAACUGAGCACCGGUCCAGCCUCCUACGGUAGGCAGCAGUGGGGAAUAUUGCACAAUGGGCGCAAGCCUGAUGCAGCCAGGCCGCGUGUAUGAAGAAGGCCUUCGGGUUGUAAGGUACUUUCAGCGAGGGGGCGUUACUCGCAGAAGAAGCACCGGCUAACUCCGUGCCAGCAGCCGCGGUAAUAC
rnacentral:rRNA from 1 species